rnacentral:rRNA from 1 species
GACGAACGCUGGCGGCGUGCCUAAUACAUGCAAGUUGAGCGCUGAAGGUUGGUACUUGUACCGACUGGAUGAGCAGCGAACGGGUGAGUAACGCGUGGGGAAUCUGCCUUUGAGCGGGGGACAACAUUUGGAAACGAAUGCUAAUACCGCAUAAAAACUUUAAACACAAGGUUUAAGUGUGAAAGAUGCAAUUGCAUCACUCAAAGAUGAUCCCGCGUUGUAUUAGCUAGUUGGUGAGGUAAAGGCUCACCAAGGCGAUGAUACAUAGCCGACCUGAGAGGGUGGUAGGCCAAACUGGGACUGGGACACGGCCCAAAACACUACGGGAGGCAGCAGUAGGGAAUUUUCGGCAAUGGACGAAAGGCUGACCGAGGAACGCCGCGUGAGUGAAGGAGGUUUUCAGACCGUAAAACUCUGUUGGUAGAGAAGAACGUUGGGGAGAGUUGACAGCGCAUCAAGUGACGGUAACUACUCAGAAAGGGACGGCUAACUACGUG